rnacentral:rRNA from 1 species
GAUGAACGCUGGCGGCGUGCUUAACACAUGCCAGUCGAACGGAAAGGCUCCUGCUUGCCGGGGUACUCGAGUGGCGAACGGGUGAGUAACACGUGGGUGAUCUGCCCUGCACUUCGGGAUAAGCCUGGGAAACUGGGUCUAAUACCGGAUAGGACCACAUUUUGGAUGGUGUGGUGGAAAGUUUUUCGGUGUGGGAUGAGCUCGCGGCCUAUCAGCUUGUUGGUGGGGUAAUGGCCUACCAAGGCGUCGACGGGUAGCCGGCCUGAGAGGGUGUACGGCCACAUUGGGACUGAGAUACGGCCCAGACUCCUACGGGAGGCAGCAGUGGGGAAUAUUGCACAAUGGGCGCAAGCCUGAUGCAGCGACGCCGCGUGGGGGAUGACGGCCUUCGGGUUGUAAACUCCUUUCGCUAGGGACGAAGCGCAAGUGACGGUACCUGGAGAAGAAGCACCGGCUAACUACGUG